AUUGAACGCUGGCGGCAGGCCUAACACAUGCAAGUCGAGCGGAGCGGCCGACGGGUGAGUAAUGCCUAUGACUCUGCCUGGUCGUGGGGGAUAACGUCCGGAAACGGGCGCUAAUACCUCAUACUCUCCGAUGGGCCUAGGUCGGCUUAGCUAGUUGGUGGGGAAAAGGCCUACCAAGGCGACGAUCCGUAGCUGGUCUGAGAGGAUGAUCAGCCACACGGGAACUGAGACACGGCCCAGACUCCUACGGGAGGAAGCAGUGGGGAAUAUUGGACAAUGGGCGCAAGCCUGAUCCAGCCAUACCGCGUGGGUGAAGAAGGCCUUCGGGUUGUAAAGUACUUUUGUUGGGAAAGCGGUACCCAAAGAAUAAGCACCGGCUAACUUCGUGCCAGCAGCCGCGGUAAUUC
rnacentral:rRNA from 1 species